ACAAUGGGCGCAAGCCUGAUGCAGCAACGCCGCGUGAGGGACGACGGCCUUCGGGUUGUAAACCUCUUUUAGCAGGGAAGAAGCGAAAGUGACGGUACCUGCAGAAAAAGCACCGGCUAACUACGUGCCAGCAGCCGCGGUAAUACGUAGGGUGCAAGCGUUGUCCGGAAUUAUUGGGCGUAAAGAGCUCGUAGGCGGUUUGUCGCGUCUGCUGUGAAAACGCGAGGCUCAACCUCGCGCCUGCAGUGGGUACGGGCAGACUAGAGUGCGGUAGGGGAGAUUGGAAUUCCUGGUGUAGCGGUGGAAUGCGCAGAUAUCAGGAGGAACACCGAUGGCGAAGGCAGAUCUCUGGGCCGUAACUGACGCUGAGGAGCGAAAGCGUGGGGAGCGAACAGGAUUAGAUACCCUGGUAGUCCACGCCGUAAACGUUGGGAACUAGAUGUAGGGACCAUUCCACGGUUUCUGUGUCGCAGCUAACGCAUUAAGUUCCCCGCCUGGGGAGUACGGUCGCAAGACUAAAACUCAAAGGAAUUGACGGGGGCCCGCACAAGCGGCGGAGCAUGCGGAUUAAUUCGAUGCAACGCGAAGAACCUUACCAAGGCUUGACAUAUAGAGGAAACGUGCAGAAAUGUACGCCCCGCAAGGUCUCUAUACAGGUGGUGCAUGGUUGUCGUCAGCUCGUGUCGUGAGAUGUUGGGUUAAGUCCCGCAACGAGCGCAACCCUCGUCCUAUGUUGCCAGCACGUCAUGGUGGGAACUCAUGGGAGACUGCCGGGGUCAACUCGGAGGAAGGUGGGGAUGACGUCAAAUCAUCAUGCCCCUUAUGUCUUGGGCUUCACGCAUGCUACAAUGGCCGGUACAAAGGGCUGCGAUACCGCAAGGUGGAGCGAAUCCCAAAAAGCCGGUCUCAGUUCGGAUUGAGGUCUGCAACUGACCUCAUGAACGCGGUGGCAGCGUGCAUCACAGCACGCUCUCAAGAAAAAACGAUAUAGCUAUG
rnacentral:rRNA from 1 species